rnacentral:tRNA from 1 species
GGCAGCGUGGCCUAAUGGAUAGAGCACGGGACUGGGCCUAGGACCUGGGUUCUAAUCCCAACUCUGCCA